rnacentral:lncRNA from 1 species
UACUUUUCUAUGAUAUGUGGUGAAUUUGCACAAGCAUUUCAUCACAGAAAGAGAUUAAUAAUUUGAUUGCCACGAGGGAGACAAUGCCUAGAAAACCGCAAGACACUUGAAAGCCCUGUUAUGAAAACUGACUCAACAUGCACCAAAUGGACCACACACCAUGAGCUAUAGGCCAUACUUCCGGUUAACACGCUGCCAAAUCUAGCCACACUCCACCUCUCAUCUUUAAAAAGCUUCACCAUUUAAGACAUUCACUUCACUCACAAACAUUUUGUACCACCAAGCUUUCUUUGUAUAACAAGUACGUAGUAAUUGAUGUCUUGCAUGUAUUUAUGGACAUGUCUGUUUACUAUUGUUUGCAUGGUAUUUUGCUACUAAGCUUUGUACUAUGUACUUAUAUUUAUGGACAUGUCUAUCACUUAUUUAUCUUGAAUAUCAUUUUUUUCACGUUGCAGACAGGUUCACACUUCACAACAAAUAAAUAUACGACAACAAUUAAUAAAAACUAUACAAUCUGAAAUAACUUAUAAUAAACGACAACAAUAAUCAAUCUUUAUCUUAUUAG